rnacentral:rRNA from 1 species
GUUUGAUCCUGGCUCAGGAUGAACGCUGGCGGCGUGCUUAACACAUGCAAGUCGAACGAAGCACUUUAUUUGAUUUCCUUCGGGACUGAUUAUUUUGUGACUGAGUGGCGGACGGGUGAGUAACGCGUGGGUAACCUGCCUUGUACAGGGGGAUAACAGUUGGAAACGGCUGCUAAUACCGCAUAAGCGCACGGCAUCGCAUGAUGCAGUGUGAAAAACUCCGGUGGUAUAAGAUGGACCCGCGUUGGAUUAGCUAGUUGGUGAGGUAACGGCCCACCAAGGCGACGAUCCAUAGCCGACCUGAGAGGGUGACCGGCCACAUUGGGACUGAGACACGGCCCAAACUCCUACGGGAGGCAGCAGUGGGGAAUAUUGCACAAUGGGCGAAAGCCUGAUGCAGCGACGCCGCGUGAGCGAAGAAGUAUUUCGGUAUGUAAAGCUCUAUCAGCAGGGAAGAUAAUGACGGUACCUGACUAAGAAGCACCGGCUAAAUACGUGCCAGCAGCCGCGGUAAUACGUAUGGUGCAAGCGUUAUCCGGAUUUACUGGGUGUAAAGGGAGCGCAGGCGGUGCGGCAAGUCUGAUGUGAAAGCCCGGGGCUCAACCCCGGUACUGCAUUGGAAACUGUCGUACUAGAGUGUCGGAGGGGUAAGCGGAAUUCCUAGUGUAGCGGUGAAAUGCGUAGAUAUUAGGAGGAACACCAGUGGCGAAGGCGGCUUACUGGACGAUAACUGACGCUGAGGCUCGAAAGCGUGGGGAGCAAACAGGAUUAGAUACCCUGGUAGUCCACGCCGUAAACG